UUUGCGUCGAAGGUAUACCGGUAAGGAGUGCUGGAGCGAAUAGAAGUGAGCAUGCAGGCAUGAGUAGCGAUAAUUAAUGUGAGAAUCAUUAACGCCGUAAACCCAAGGUUUCCUACGCGAUGCUCGUCAUCGUAGGGUUAGUCGGGUCCUAAGUUGAGUCCGAAAGGGGUAGACGAUGGCAAAUUGGUUAAUAUUCCAAUACCAACAUUAGUGUGCGAUGGAAGGACGCUUAGGGCUAAGGGGGCUAGCGGAUGGAAGUGCUAGUCUAAGGUCGUAGGAGGUUAUAUAGGCAAAUCCGUAUAACAAUACUCCGAGAACUGAAAGGCUUUUUGAAGUCUUCGGAUGGAUAGAAGAACCCCUGAUGCCGUCGAGCCAAGAAAAGUUUCUAAGUUUAGCUAAUGUUGCCCGUACCGUAAACCGACACAGGUGGGUGGGAUGAGUAUUCUAAGGCGCGUGGAAGAACUCUCUUUAAGGAACUCUGCAAAAUAGCACCGUAUCUUCGGUAUAAGGUGUGGUUAGCUUUGUAUUAGGAUUUACUCCGAAAGCAAGGAAACUUACAACAAAGAGUCCCUCCCGACUGUUUACCAAAAACACAGCACUCUGCUAACUCGUAAGAGGAUGUAUAGGGUGUGACGCCUGCCCGGUGCUCGAAGGUUAAUUGAUGGGGUUAGCAUUAGCGAAGCUCUUGAUCGAAGCCCGAGUAAACGGCGGCCGUAACUAUAACGGUCCUAAGGUAGCGAAAUUCCUUGUCGGUUAAAUACCGACCUGCAUGAAUGGCGUAACGAGAUGGGAGCUGUCUCAAAGAGGGAUCCAGUGAAAUUGUAGUGGAGGUGAAAAUUCCUCCUACCCGCGGCAAGACGGAAAGACCCCGUGGACCUUUACUACAGCUUGACACUGCUACUUGGAUAAGAAUGUGCAGGAUAGGUGGGAGGCUUUGAGUAUAUGACGCCAGUUGUAUAUGAGCCAUUGUUGAGAUACCACUCUUUCUUAUUUGGGUAGCUAACCAGCUUGAGUUAUCCUCAAGUGGGACAAUGUCUGGUGGGUAGUUUGACUGGGGCGGUCGCCUCCCAAAUAAUAACGGAGGCUUACAAAGGUUGGCUCAGAACGGUUGGAAAUCGUUCGUAGAGUAUAAAGGUAUAAGCCAGCUUAACUGCAAGACAUACAAGUCAAGCAGAGACGAAAGUCGGUCUUAGUGAUCCGGUGGUUCUGUGUGGAAGGGCCAUCGCUCAAAGGAUAAAAGGUACCCCGGGGAUAACAGGCUGAUCUCCCCCAAGAGCUCACAUCGACGGGGAGGUUUGGCACCUCGAUGUCGGCUCAUCGCAUCCUGGGGCUGGAGCAGGUCCCAAGGGUAUGGCUGUUCGCCAUUUAAAGCGGUACGCGAGCUGGGUUCAGAACGUCGUGAGACAGUUCGGUCCCUAUCUGCCGUGGGCGUAAGAAGAUUGAAGAGAUUUGACCCUAGUACGAGAGGACCGGGUUGAACAAACCACUGGUGUAGCUGUUGUUCUGCCAAGAGCAUCGCAGCGUAGCUAAGUUUGGAAAGGAUAAACGCUGAAAGCAUCUAAGCGUGAAGCCAACUCUAAGAUGAAUCUUCUCUAAGCUCUCUAGAAGACUACUAGUUUGAUAGGCUGGGUGUGUAAUGGAUGAAAGUCCUUUAGCUGACCAGUACUAAUAGAGCGUUUGGCUUAUCUUUAAUAAAGCAU
rnacentral:rRNA from 1 species